GACGAACGCUGGCGGCGUGCUUAACACAUGCAAGUCGAACGAAGUGGCGAACGGGUGAGUAACGCGUAAUCAACCUGCCCUUCAGAGGGGGACAACAGUUGGAAACGACUGCUAAUACCGCAUACUGAAGGAGGGGAUUGCGUCUGAUUAGCUAGUUGGAGGGGUAACGGCCCACCAAGGCGAUGAUCAGUAGGCGGGCUGAGAGGAGGAACGGCAAAAUUGGGAAUGGGACACGGCCAAGACUCCUACGGGAGGCAGCAGGGGGGAAUCGUCCGCAAUGGAGGAAAGUCUGAAGGAGCAACGCCGCGGGAGUGAGGACGGCCUUCGGGUUGUAAAGCUCUGUUAAGCGGGACGCGGUACCGGAAUAGAAAGCCACGGCUAACUACGUGCCAGCCGCCGCGGUAAUUC
rnacentral:rRNA from 1 species